UUUUAUUCUUUGGAUACAGUCUGGCAGAGAGUGGUGGGUGAUCAGAGCAAACAUGACUGAAGGCAGGGAAAGAAGAUGAGAGAUUACUGCAGUUCGUGCUUCAUCUAUUCAAAAAGUUUACAUGACACCAGAUAAUUCAUGCUGGAAAGAAAAGAGAAGGAAUUCUCUAGAUGUGACACUGCACUGCUUCUCCAGCAUAGCCAGCCUUUCUUCAAGCCUGUGUGUACCCCAUCUGAAGAAAAACUGGUACUGCUGUUAGAAAAAGAAAAGAAAGAAACAUGCUUAAGCAUUUGCCUGUCCAAGAGAGGGAUGUCCUGACCCACAAACACAACUGCCUGCCCGUGGGACAGCAGACCCCUGUGGUG
rnacentral:lncRNA from 1 species